CCAAAGGCUCUUUUAAGAGCCACCCAUGUUUUCAUUUAGAGAGCUU
rfam:Danio rerio chromosome 7, GRCz11 reference primary assembly.